rfam:Triticum aestivum genome assembly, contig: Triticum_aestivum_CS42_TGACv1_scaffold_051131_1BS
AUUCUACUCCCUCCAUUCCACAAUACAUGCCUUCUAUUUGUCAAAAUAUAGAUGUAUCUAGACAUGUUUUAGUAUAUAGGUACAUCCAUUUUUGGAAAAAAUGGAAGUCAAGUAUUUUGGAAUGGAGGGAGCACACA